rnacentral:rRNA from 1 species
UACGUAGGGAGCAAGCGUUGUUCGGAUUUACUGGGCGUGAAGGGCGCGUAGGCGGCAAUUCAAGUCAUCUGUGAAAUCUCCGGGCUUAACUCGGAACGGUCAGAUGAUACUGCUUUGCUAGAGUGCAGAAGGGGCAAUCGGAAUUCUCGGUGUAGCGGUGAAAUGCGUAGAUAUCGAGAGGAACACCAGAGGUGAAGACGGGUUGCUGGGCUGACACUGACGCUGAGGCGCGAAAGCCAGGGGAGCAAACGGG